rnacentral:rRNA from 1 species
AGUAGAGGAAGGAGAAGUCGUAACAAGGUUUUCGUAGGUGAACCUGCGAAAGGAUCAUUAU